rnacentral:rRNA from 1 species
AUUGAACGCUGGCGGCAUGCCUUACACAUGCAAGUCGAACGGUAACGGGCCUUCGGGUGCCGACGAGUGGCGCACGGGGGUGUAAUACAUCGGAACGUGCCCGAUCUUGGGGGGUAACGAGGCGAAAGCUUUUCUAAUACCGCAUACGAUCUACGGGUGGAAGCAGGGGACCGCAAGGCCUUGCGCGGACGGAGCGGCCGAUGGCGGAUUAGGUAGUUGGUGGGAUAAAAGCUUACCAAGCCGACGAUCUGUAGCUGGUCUGAGAGGAUGAUCAGCCACACUGGGACUGAGACACGGCCCAGACUCCUACGGGAGGCAGCAGUGGGGAAUUUUGGACAAUGGGCGCAAGCCUGAUCCAGCCAUGCCGCGUGCAGGAUGAAGGCCUUCGGGUUGUAAACUGCUUUUGUACGGAACGAAAAGCCUUCUUUUAAUACAGGAGGGUCAUGACGGUACCGGAAGAAUAAGCACCGGCUAACUACGUG